UGGACUAUUCACACUCCUACCUUCUGGCCUGACGGUCAACGGCCACAUUUACAAUUGAAGAAGAAUGCUAAUUUGAGCCAUCAGAGUCGUCAGUUUGGAUUCAGGGUCUUUUGGCACUGUUUCAGUAAGUCUGGGGAGAAAUCGAAAACCUAGUACUCCUAGUUUAAUCCAGAGUUUAA